UAUUAAAAAUUUCAUUUAAUUCUACUCUUAAAAACUGGCAUGGCUGUCAGAAUAACCAGACAGUUACACAUGUACCUCAUUCUGACAUAUAAAGACUAGUUUUUAACAGUAGAAAUGAAUGAAAUUUUUAACA
rfam:Gossypium raimondii Chr07_contig_743, whole genome shotgun sequence.